rnacentral:rRNA from 1 species
UCCGUAGGUGAACCUGCGGAAGGAUCAUUACCAAAUACUGCUUGCCUGGAUGGAUUCGUCUGUUCUGCAAACAAACCCCCUCUGUGUACCUGUACCUGUUGCUUCCGUCAGCCAGUGGAUGCCUCUAGGGGUGUCCCCUCCGGUGCCUGAUCAGUUCAUGGUCGGCUGGGGAGUUGCUGGCGGUAAGCCAUUUCAAAAACACGUGUCAUAUCUCUGCCAAGUCUGAGCUUUGAUGCUAAAAAACAAAACAAGUUAAAACUUUCAACAACGGAUCUCUUGGUUCUCGCAUCGAUGAAGAACGCAGCGAAAUGCGAUAAGUAGUGUGAAUUGCAGAAUUCAGUGAAUCAUCGAAUCUUUGAACGCACAUUGCGCCUUCCGGUAUUCCGGGAGGCAUGCCUGUCCGAACGUCAUCAAGCCCCUCGCCUGCAUCCUUUGUUUUCAAAGGAAGCCUUGGCGGCACAUGGCAGAUGGCCGCCCUAUGGGCUGCCACCGCCGAAAUCCAUGGGCAGACCCACCAUUGCUGUUAUUGUGAUAAGACAUUACUUACAAUUGCUAGACUGGUUGGUGUCUUGCCAUAAUCUCCAGGAUUGGACCCUCCACGGGG